rnacentral:rRNA from 1 species
UACGGAGGGUGCAAGCGUUAUCCGGAUUCACUGGGUUUAAAGGGUGCGUAGGCGGGCAGGCAAGUCCGUGGUGAAAUCUCUGAGCUUAACUCAGAAACUGCCGUGGAUACUAUUUGUCUUGAAUACUGUGGAGGUAAGCGGAAUAUGUCGUGUAGCGGCGAAAUGCGUAGAUAUGACGUGGAACACCAAUUGCGAAGGCAGCUUACUGCACAGUUAUUGACGCUGAGGCGCGAAAGCGUGGGGAUCAAACAGG